GUCAUAUAGCAUUGUCAACAAGAUGAACCAUGCAUUGUUCUAAGAUAUGACAAAUUAUGCACGUGUGAAAACUGCGAUGGCUCAUUAAAUCAGUUAUAGUAAGAUCUAUAUGAUACCUGCAUACAUGGAUGAUCACUGUGGUAAUUCUAAGAGCUAAUACAUGCAUACAAGCCCCAACUUCUGGAACGUGAAUUGGCUAGAGAUAAGAAAAGACCAUCACGCGUCCAUUUGACCGCCGCUCCACUUUGUGAUUCAAAAUAACUUCUCGAUCGCAAUGCCUUGUGCGGCGAUGCUUCAUUCAAUAUCUGCCCUACAACUUUCGAUGGUAGGAUAGAGCACCAUCUGGUUUCAACGGGUAACGGGAAUAAGGCAAAUUCGAAUGUCGGAAGAGGGAGCCUGAGAAACACCUACCACAUCCAAGGAAGGCACAGGCGCGCAAAUUACCCAAUCCCGACACGAGAGCGGAGGUAGUGACAAAAAACGCACAAUUAUAAGAAGGGCCCUCAUCUCGGGAUACUUAUAAGUAUGCAAUGAGAUAUCCAUAGUUAUAAAAUCCUAACAGGAAUACAAUUGGAGCAAGCUGGUGCCAGCCAGCCCGAAUUCCAGCACAAUAGCGUAUAU
rnacentral:ncRNA from 1 species